UGGGGAAUUGUUCGCAAUGGGCGCAAGCCUGACGCAGCCAUGCCGCGUGGAUGAUGAAGGUCUUAGGAUUGUAAAAUCCUUUCAGCGGGGACGAUAAUGACGGUACCCGCAGAAGAAGUCCCGGCUAACUUCGUGCCAGCAGCCGCGGUAAUACGAAGGGGGCUAGCGUUGCUCGGAUUUACUGGGCGUAAAGGGCGCGUAGGCGGACAGUUAAGUCGGGGGUGAAAGCCCGGGGCUCAACCUCGGAAUUGCCUUCGAUACUGGCUGUCUUGAGUACGGGAGAGGUGUGUGGAACUCCGAGUGUAGAGGUGAAAUUCGUAGAUAUUCGGAAGAACACCAGUGGCGAAGGCGACACACUGGCCCGUUACUGACGCUGAGGCGCGAAAGCGUGGGGAGCAAA
rnacentral:rRNA from 1 species